UACGGAGGGAGCUAGCGAUGUUCGGAGUUACUGGGCGUAAAGCGCACGUAGGCGGCUUUUUAAGUCAGGGGUGAAAUCCCGGGGCUCAACCCCGGAACUGCCCUUGAAACUGGGAAGCUAGAAUCUUGGAGAGGCGAGUGGAAUUCCGAGUGUAGAGGUGAAAUUCGUAGAUAUUCGGAAGAACACCAGUGGCGAAGGCGACUCGCUGGACAAGUAUUGACGCUGAGGUGCGAAAGCGGGGGGAGCAAACAGG
rnacentral:rRNA from 1 species